AGGCAGAAGAAGAUGCAAUACUGUUACUAGAAAAGACAUUACCAAAAGAAAAGCCCCCGAAGACUAUAAAACAGGACAAGAACGUCAUGGACCAGAUCCUGGAAGCCAACCAAGAACUAAACAUGUUCGAGGGUGACAUCCUCGGAGUUUCUGCUAGAACUAUGACCAGGAACGCCAUCAGGGACGUGACUGAAAUCUGGACCUCCCGAAUCAUUCCCUUCGUCAUCAAAACAGACGACU